rnacentral:rRNA from 1 species
UACAGAGGGUGCAAGCGUUACUCGGAUUUACUGGGCGUAAAGCGUGCGUCGGCGGUUCAUUACGUCGGUUGUGAAAUCCCUGGGCUUAACCUGGGAACUGCAGUCGAUACUGGUGGACUAGAGUGCGGUAGAGGGUGGCGGAACUCCGGGUGUAGCGGUGAAAUGCGUAGAUAUCCGGAAGAACACCGAUGGCGAAGGCAACCACCUGGGCCUGCACUGACGCUGAGGUACGAAAGCGUGGGGAGCAAACAGG